rnacentral:rRNA from 1 species
AAAUUGAAGAGUUUGAUCAUGGCUCAGAUUGAACGCUGGCGGCAGGCCUAACACAUGCAAGUCGAACGGUAACAGGAAGAAGCUUGCUUCUUUGCUGACGAGUGGCGGACGGGUGAGUAAUGUCUGGGAAACUGCCUGAUGGAGGGGGAUAACUACUGGAAACGGUAGCUAAUACCGCAUAACGUCGCAAGACCAAAGAGGGGGACCUUCGGGCCUCUUGCCAUCGGAUGUGCCCAGAUGGGAUUAGCUAGUAGGUGGGGUAAAGGCUCACCUAGGCGACGAUCCCUAGCUGGUCUGAGAGGAUGACCAGCCACACUGGAACUGAGACACGGUCCAGACUCCUACGGGAGGCAGCAGUGGGGAAUAUUGCACAAUGGGCGCAAGCCUGAUGCAGCCA